rnacentral:rRNA from 1 species
GGCGAACGGGUGAGUAACACGUGGGCAACCUUUCCUAUCGCGGGGGAUAACAGCGGGAAACCGCUGCUAAUACCGCAUGUCGUCAUCGGUCGCAUGGCCGGUGAAGAAAGCAGCAAUGCACGAUGGGGUGGGCCCGCGGCCUAUCAGCUAGUCGGUGGGGUAACGGCCUACCGAGGCGAUGACGGGUAGCUGGUCUGAGAGGACGACCAGCCACACGGGGACUGAGACACGGCCCCGACUCCUACGGGAGGCAGCAGUGAGGAAUCUUCCGCAAUGGGCGAAAGCCUGACGGAGCGACGCCGCGUGUGGGAUGAAGUCUUUCGGGAUGUAAACCACUGUCGGAGGGGAAGACAUCGACGGUACCCUCCAAGAAAGCCCCGGCUAACUACGUGCCAGCCGCCGCGG